AUGGUUGUGUGGCGGUUGAGAUUAAGGAGAUCAAAAAAGAAAGUUCAUUGUGGAGUUGCAAUUUUGACAGAUGUUGGAGUGUGGUUCACAAUGAUGGUUGGACAAAUUUGUAUUGGUAAUUUUUUGCGCCUUAAAAGCUUAAGUUUUGAUCUAUUUGUUUGUCCUAGUUUUUGAUUUCUUCUAUUUAUAUGUUAAUUUUUUCUCACCCAAAUCUUGAGAACACUAUCUUAUGUGAGAAAAAAAACAAUUAAUAACAACUAUCGGAUCAAGAUUAAAAAUAAUAAAUGAAUGGGAUUAAAAUAUUUAAAAUUUUUAAUUAAAAUUUAAUAUAUUAUCAAAUUUCUAAAAAAUUAACCAAACAAACACAACUAAAAAGAUCUCAAUUAUCACUUCCUAAAAUAUUUCAAUCAUCAUCAUAAUUGUUGUUAUCAUCACUAUGAUAACCACUGUCAUCACCAUCAUUAUUAGCUUAGCUGCCACCACCAUUUUAGUUAACCAUCAUAGUCUUCCUUGUCGUCUCUAUCACCGUCACCAUGAUUAUUGUUGUAGCCACUAUCAUGAUUUUUAUCACCAUCAUCAUCAACUGUCACUAUUGUCAUCAUUAUGAUUGUCGUUAUCGUUACUGUUACUGUUAUCACCACCAUCGGCUUUGGGCGUUGGAUUUUAAGUAAGUUGAUUCUGAAUAAUAACUCAGUAACUUUCACUAUCUUUAUAACUAACAAAAAGCCACAAAAAAGUAUAUUAUUUUCUUUUGUUGUGUUUGCUAUUUUUAUUGUGAACCAUUUCUGUUAAUAACUGUGAUUUACUCCUCCUGAGUAAAAGUGAGAUCUAAGAGACGCCUCAAAGAAAAUUUGAAGGAAUUAUUUUAAAACAUUAAUUUGAGCGAUUGGCAGAUAAAAGGAACAAUACUUCCAAAAAAAAAAAAACUAAAGCUAAACACAUCUUCAAAUUUACUCAAUAAAUUAAUUGAGAAAUCAACUCAUAUCCUUCGGGCGUCCUUCUUAAUGAAACCAUGAAAUAGUUGUUGCUCCUGAACUGAAAGCCAACUUUAAAUUAGUGAAACUAAGAAAAAAAGACAGAAUUCAAGAUUUAAGAACACUUACAAAAUAAAUCACCAACAAGGUCCACGUUUUUGUGAAUUUUGAGUUUGUUUCUUAUGGACUGUAACAACCUUUAUCGGUCAAUUUUUUCUUUUUGUAAAGGCAUCCGUUGACCAUGUGCCACUAACAAAAGUAAAUUGGAUUUGGAUUUGGAUUUGCAGGCUCAACGUGGAAGCACAAGUUUGAUAACACAAUGGGUGUACUUCAGUUUCAAACGAAGUUGGUGGCUGCAGCACUAAUAACAUUCCCUCAAGUGGCACUAGAAGCUCCUGCAAUACUUCGUUCCUAAGGUAAACUUGGGUUGUCAAAAAUUUCUUUUCUUUGGCUUCUCAAAAGAAGAGUUAAUUAUUAGUUGAUAUAAUUGGGG
rnacentral:lncRNA from 1 species